rnacentral:rRNA from 1 species
AUUGCAGAAUUCAGUGGAAUCAUCGAAUCUUUGAACGCAUCUUGCGCUCCUUGGUAUUCCGAGGAGCAUGCCUGGUUUGAGUGUCAUU